AUCACUUCUUGGCCUUUUGGCUAAGAUUAAGUGUAGUAUCUGUUCUUAUUGGUUUAAAAUUAAUCGCAAUCUAUGCUGUAUGAAUAUACUUAAUAAAUUUAGUUAAUACCACUU
rnacentral:snRNA from 1 species